CUGGAAAGGUAAUAGAGGGAGACAAGCUGGCUUUUAAAGCCACUAUCAGAUAUUGUUAGCGAGGAUGGUGUGAGCAAACCCAGUUGCUGUCUGGUGCCGGAGGGCUGCUGGAGCCUCCCAGAACCCUCCGAAUGCUGCUCCGUGCAGCCAAACCCGGAGUGCCAGACAUCAGAUGGCGAGAGGCAGCAGCUGCGGCAAUAGUUUCUGGCUUCUGGCAAGGAAAACAGAUGAGCAAAUAUUCUCUGUCUUGAAGUUAAAUGCAUUGCUGCAGCAAAAGGCCUCUCCAGCUUUCCAGCUACCAUGAAUCCUGAGCCUACUCUUAAACUGAGCAACAUUGUUUUUCACAUUGUGUUACCAGAGAUACCAGUGAGAUACUCAAGGAAGAGAGCCCGCCUACAAAGCCUCAGUCAUCACGUACAGAAAUUAUGUGAUGGAUGAAGGAUAUUUUCUCUUACCCCAUUAUAAACACUCUUGCCAGUGAUGAUGGCCUUUAUGUGUCUCUGAAAUAAAAGUUGAACCCAGCAAAAUGGAGUAAAAAUGUGUGUGUACAUUUACACGGCACAGAGACAACGUGUAUUAGCAAUUGCUGUGCUGGGAGAGCUGUGAAGCUGAGCUGCAAGCUCACAGUCAUAGAAGACAGUCCCUUCCUGGGU